AAAUAUUCCCUUUUGAUGCCAUUUUUUGUACACUUUAUUAAAGGGAAUAUCAUUUACUCACACACACAGAUAUUCAACCUUAUUUCUCUACAUUAAAGCUCUAUUUUCUUUUCAAAAAGGCUCAGAUUCCAUAAGUCUUGAAAAACUUCAAGCCCUCUAAUUUUCUAAUUCUUUACAAGUUCAAAAUAUGAGUUGAGGUGGAGGAUUUCCCUGUUUCCUUUAGCUAGUUUUCUGGUUUCAAAAUUAUCUUCAUUUUGUGUGGGUGUGCUGUUGUGUUUUUCUGGUUGUUGCUGCUGAAGUUUGGCUUCCUUUCUCUUUUGGUCUUCUUGACCUUUAUUUGAUCAUCACUCUGCUAUAUUUUUCAGUUUCAAGGUAUGUAUAAUAUUCAUCUUGAAUGGAAUCAAUUUUGAUUUAAAAUUCUUUAGUUGGAAUUUGGUUGGUUAGCUGAUCUCUGAUGUUAGUUCUAAAAAUCAUGACUUGGUUGAAUCUAGGGUUGAUUAAGCCAUGUGUUAAUAUUAGCUUAAAUGGUUGUUGAAUUUAAUUAUGAAAUCUGUAAUAUUGUGUUGUAGAUGUGUUAAAACUUGACAAAGUUUAUUGUUGAAUAAGUGUAUAUACCUAUAAUCCUCUCCUAUAGCAGCAC
rnacentral:lncRNA from 1 species